ACAAUAGCAUUCGGACCGUCGGUCUACCGAGCAAUAUCACCCGCUCCGUGGAAGAUCUUCCUUUCGUCGUCAAAA
rnacentral:pre_miRNA from 1 species